CUCUCAGGCUCUUGGCAGCCAUGGAGCUGCACCUUCAGGACAUGCUAAAUGGUACACCAUUGUACAAGGUCAGACAAUUCCAUCUUCUCAAGCGUCUGGAUCCCAGACCCAGUCAUCAUACCAGCCUAGCACUACAACACUGCUUCAGACAGGCCAGCCUGUUCUUCCUCAGAGUCAGCCUUCGGGAGCUUCUGCUCCAUAUCCAAGUCAAACCUCUGGCGUGUACAAUAUUGCACAGCGUCCAUUGACUGCAACCCUUUCCGAAAUACCUGGGUUCCACAUCCAGUCAUCAUACCAGCCUGGCACUACAACACUGCUUCAGACAGGCCAGUCUGCGUCUACAUCUCAGGCUCAGUCCUCUGGCGCAUCAACAUUGUAUCAAGGAUUAGGAGGAAUGUGACUUCUCUGGGUCAUGGCUUUCCAUACUCAACCCAGUCUGUGGUGACUGCAAACCAGACAUCUGGAUCCCAGACCCAGUCAUCAUACCAGCCUGGCACCACAACACUGCUUCAGACAGGCCUGUCUGCUUCUACAUCUCAGGCUCAGUCCUCUGGUGCCUCAACAUUCUAUCAAGGGAUUAGCUCUGGCAGGUAUCUGACUUCACUGGGUCAGAGCAUUCCAUCCUCCUCCCACUCUGUGGUCACUACAAAAAAAAUCUCUGGAUUGCAGGACCAGUCAUUUCAGCCUGACACCACAACAAAUGCUUUGGUGGGUCAGUCUGCUUCUACAUCUUUGGCUCACGGCAACUUUCAGGCUCCAAAUUGGCAUACGAUAACUCCUCCUAGAUUCCAUAAUUUGCUACGGAACGUGUCGGUUUCUCAAUCUCUGAGCUCUGAUCCCCAAACAAGAACAAUCAACAAUAUUUUGCCGUUUCUGAACCAAAGUGCUGGGACUUCUGCCAUGUCCUCAGAAUAAUGUACAGACCCCAGCAUUUCACACAAUCUACACACUUCUCACCUGUCCCACAAACUGUUGCCACUCCCCCAGUCUCUCUACCCAAGCCUUGCCGACAGACACAAUGCUCAAUGGUGGAGAGUGCAAUUGCCUCUAUAGCAUCCAGCCAACCUCUCCUCGUGUUGCCACAUCUCAAGGCACAGGCUCUUUUGCUGCUGUACCCAUUCCAGGUACCUCACAGAAUUUUGCAGGCAUUGAUUUCCAGGGUACAUUGCCAGUACAUGACCAGUACAGCUCGGUGUGUAACUUUCCAUUUGGUUUCUGCAAUUCUCCUCAAGGAGCUGCAAACAACAAAUUUGUUCGAAGCCAGAGUGUACAGACACAACACCUGUGAACCAAGAAUUCAUGGGACACUUUCUGGAAUCAGUGCCUCAUCAGCAUUCUGUGUUCCACAAAGCUUUUCCCA
ensembl:lncRNA